UAUAAUUAAUGAUGGUUUUUUGUUAGAUCCAGUCAAAUGUUGUUUGACUUCGAAAACUUAUAGAUCUUUUCAUAAACUGAUGGAGUUUAUGCUAGGAAAAAACUUUUGAAGCCUCACAAUGCAAGCUGUCUAGAUGCCUUCUUUUUUAAAUGUAGACUAGUGCCUAAAAUUCUUUAUUUUCAUGUAUGUGUCCACAUAAUUCAACCCAGCUAUGGCAUUGCAUCGACUAUAUGUAUUUGGUAGUAAAAUUACUCGAACAAUCAAAUCUGAAUAUGUGAUGAACUCACCCCCGACCAAAAAAUGUAAGGCGUAUUUUGUUUGACCACUACAAGACCUUGCUUGUUGUAUUGAUAUAUAGUUCAUUGAUGUAUAGUUCACGUGGAACAAAACAACAAACAUAAUGAAUUAUACACUCAUAUAUACUCACACAUGUAAAUUUAACUCUUGUGCUGCAUUUUUUAGAAAAUGGCAUGUCCCGAAACUCAAAACACGCACUUGCAUGCGCCUCAUUUUACGUGACCGUAAAUAUGUGUGAUAGUGUGAGAUACGAUGGUAGUUUGCGUGUUUAAUCAUGCAUGUUUAAAAAAGUAAGACGUGUGUUUUCUCGUAAUAGCUAGUGCCAAGAUUUUCCCACGAUGAUAUAGUCAAAAUCAAGAUUAUCAAAAUUCCGUUAUUGAGAGCCAAAAUGGGAAAAAAAAAGCACUCCUUCUAGAAAUUGCAUGCCAGAAUACCAUUACUGUCCAAAUAAUACUAAUUGAGUAAAAAAAAGACAUUAAUGUCCUUACUCUUUCAAAUCGCUAAGAUCUUUCUUGAUGUUGUGAGAGAUUGUCAGGAUGCCAAUACGGCAUGGUUGCACAAUCUCAACCACUAACUAUUAAGUAGUAAGGGAAAAUUUGCCAGUACUAACUACUAUCUAGAGGUUGUUUCCUAGCUUGACGUCGGUAGGCGCAUGUGGUGAUGGGUAUUUCCAUAACACAUUUGCCAAUGGUGACGAUCAUGCACAUCAUGUAGCUCAAGGCAUACCACAGUGUCCAAACUCAACCAUGCUAGCUUACGCCUUCUAUGUAUGCACCGUCAAAAGAGAGCACUCAACUAGGGCUAAUAUCAAGAUACCGCGGGGAUCGUCGUUUGCUCUAGGUAAGGACUCGCCACGUGGGGCGAGAAGGUCAUUGGGGUCAGCCCUUUAGAUCAUUAUCUAUAAUCUUCCACUAACUAGCAAUAUCACAUACUAAUAUAAUGAAGGUUUGACUGAUUUUAUUGGGUGUAGAUGAACCCGAUUGUUGUAUGGCAGCUCUGCCACUGGAUAUGACGAUGAGUAACGAGCGUGGUGGAGUAGGGGAAGGUACAACAAUGUGAGUUGGAGGGGUGUGGCAGUAUGAAAGAUGCGACGGCUGGCGCGAGUAACAACAGUGGGUGGCAUUUAGCGGUGGUACAUAUUCGACCGGGCGGAAGAAGAGAUUUUGGUUGUGUUAGGGAUAAGGAACAUUUUGUUGAGAUUAUUAGGGGGCAAUUUUGAUACUUUAAAUAGUAUGACACCUAUUUUGUUGACUAAUAGAAAAUAUUUGGGAAUAGACGGUAGAUGCUAUUUUUGCAUGAAAAAGCCCAGAUCUGAGUGGUAUAUUGACACUUUGGUUUUUCAUUGGCUGGAUUUUGUAACACACUUUUUUUUGACAAUCAAUACCAUAUAUAUUUAUAGCAACAAAUAGUACAUGGUAGAGAUACAUGAACUGACUCCAACGAUUACAAAAUAAAGUCUAAAAGAUAGUAACAAAUCUUUGAGAUCUUCAAUUUCUUUCUUCUUCCAUAACACAAUCUUGUACUUUUCUAAAGGCAGCCAAAGAUAGAUAACGAACCAUAAACCUGUAGAUACCGACGAAAGUUCUCCCAUAAUUUUUUGAGGCGCAAUGCCAAGGCUGCGUACACGCACGCAACCAUUAAAGCAGUUAUACAACAUCGGCAAGAGUACCAACACCAGUAUGUCAGGGAAUAAUAACCGAUUAGCUUUGUCGUCGUCGAUGGAGAGCCGAGAGUACGAAUCACCAUUGUCGAUGACGUAGCAGCCAGAACAAAAACUGCGAGGAUAAUCCUCCUCGCGGCAACAACGACAAAAGAUCCAAAAUCGAUCUAGCGAAGCAAGAUCCGAAGACUCAUACCUAGCCAAUUGUGAUUGUUCAACACCCCCAUUGACGCCGGGAAGAAGAUGUCGUCGCCGAGCGAAAGGCCGAAGAUCACUUAUUGCAGACGAUGCCAUCUCAGUUGAGGGAAAACCAACAAAAAGACUGCUACCAAAAUCCUAACAUAAUCGAAUGAAAACAAUCUAUGGAGGAGGAUGAACUGGAUGCGGCUAGGGUUGAGGCGGUGGCUGAGAGGAGGAUGAACAAUCUUUUAUUCGAAACUCCACAUAUAGAUCGGGUUCCCCAUUUCUUCCGACGCCGGCGAAGCCGAUCGGAGGAAGGGGAACCAAUCUAGAGAGGAAAAUGAACUAGAUGCGGCUAGGAUUGAGGCGGUGGCUGAGAGGAGAGACGGGAGGAAAAGUCGGUUUGUUACGAUUCUGUAACACACUUGUUUUAACGAGUAGUGAAAUUUUGGCAAUUUGGUUUUCCAUCCAGCAGUUUCCCCUCCUAUGCUGAUAUUCUCUCUCUCUCUCUCUCCGUCUCCGACCUCCAAAUCCACCAUCCAUUCCUCGCCGGAAUUCUGUCAAUUUAGCUCUACGCCAUCUCCGAUCCCAUACGUCUACAUCGGAGAAGAGCAGCUCGCACCAAGCGUCCAAGCUCUCAACCUCGUGCGAUUUGAGGAGAAAUCCGGCAGUUGUUCCCGCGGCAUUCAGAUCGCCAUGGCUGCAACGGAGUCGGCCCGUCGGCGCGGGCAGAGGAAGGCAAAGGAAGCGGCCGUGGGCGCGGCCGCGAGGGCGCUGUUCUACCCGACGCUGCUGUACAACGUGGUUAGGAGCAAGGUCCAGGCCGAGUUCCGGUGGUGGGACGAGGUCGAUCAGUUCAUUUUGCUUGGAGCUGUUCCAUUCCGCAAGGAUGUUCCACGCUUGCAGAAGCUUGGAGUACAUGGUGUUAUAACUCUAAAUGAACCAUUUGAGACUUUAGUGCCGUCAUCAAUGUAUCAGUCUCGUGGAAUCGAUCACCUUGUUAUACCUACAAGAGAUUAUAUGUUUGCUCCAUCACUUGUGGAUAUUAAUCAAGCUAUUGAUUUCAUUCAUAGAAAUACAUCCUGCGGUAGAAUGACAUAUAUUCACUGCAAAGCUGGGAGGGGACGGAGUACAACAAUUGUCUUGUGCUAUCUGGUGAAGUACAAGAAUAUGACACCUACUGCAGCAUUUGAGUAUGUGCGGUCUAAAAGGGCUAGAGUGCUUCUUACCCGUUCUCAGUGGAAGUGUGGACUGUGGACCAAACUCACUCCCAGUGGACCCAAAUCCAGCCCACGAAUUAUAGAAUGAGUUAAGACGAAUUAUGUAUUUUCCAGCGGCGCGGUCAGUGGAGAAUUAUGAAAUUUCGUAGGUGGUAUUGAAAGCUAGGUGGUUCAAGAAUUCAGUACAAAGGUCGUUGGAGCAGCACCAUCGAAAACACAGGACGUGGUACUCUCAACUGAAGAUGGCUCUGGUUCGCCAGGAGUUAUCAAAGAGAAUGCCAGCUUGUCUUCUCAUAAAACCACCCCGUCGAGGC